rnacentral:rRNA from 1 species
AAAUUGAAGAGUUUGAUCAUGGCUCAGAUUGAACGCUGGCGGCAGGCCUAACACAUGCAAGUCGAACGGUAACAGGAAUCAGCUUGCUGAUUCGCUGACGAGUGGCGGACGGGUGAGUAAUGUCUGGGAAACUGCCUGAUGGAGGGGGAUAACUACUGGAAACGGUAGCUAAUACCGCAUAACGUCGCAAGACCAAAGAGGGGGACCUUCGGGCCUCUUGCCAUCGGAUGUGCC